rnacentral:lncRNA from 1 species
AUUAAUGAGAUGGUGGAAGCCAUGCCAGCUGGAGUUUUACUAACCUGAAAGCCCUUGAAUCUGACCUUUCCAGUAUUGCCUUCAGUCUAGGAAGUAGACACCAGAAGCUGACAGUGACAGAGCAGGGCAGUUGUUCCAGGGAGGUCAUCCUCUGCCGUUCAGUUCAUUUCACUGUGAUUUGCUGAGCACUAAACCUGGGCCUGGCAUUGGGCUUGGCACUUGAGAAGGUUUAAAGAGAAGGAGAACAUGGUUGCGCCGCACCCCCGCCCCCGCUCCAUCGCCUCAGGGAGUUCAUCAAUAACUGCAAGUGAAGAAAAGGCAAACGCCAUGAAAGAGGUGCAAAUAAAAUGCCAUGGGGCCACACAGGGGGAAAGACAGAAAAAGGCGUCCCAAAGCAAGGGGAUUGGAGGCACCGCCCACAGAGGGUGGCAAGGGUGGCAUUGGCAGUGUUGGUGCAGAAUCUGCGGCCACCUACCCUUCUUCCAACAACCGAGGUCCCAGCCAAGCAGUGACAAGCCAGGCCAGUUCCAUGUAUGGGAUUACAGCGUUAGGUGAGAAGUUAAUCACAAACAUGAAUCAGCCUUGUUUUUCCCUUCUAGGCUCGGCUCCCGAGCUCUGCAGGAGAGUGGGCAGGGCCCCUCGCUGUAUGUACAGGAAAUCAUACUGGGGGAAACAUGAAGCCAGCCAUUUCUCACCAGGGCCAAGCUGUUACCUGCAUCUUGAGAUUAUAGGGGAAUUUAUUACGUUACAUAGGAAGAGAAUCCCCUUGGUGUGACAGGCAGGAAGAAAA